rnacentral:ncRNA from 1 species
UGUGGUAGAGGUGCGGCUUUCAUCAGUACCCCCGUUGCGGGCCCAGGGAGGCCCGGGGCGAAAGGGAAAGCCGCCGAAGGCGCUUCGGCUUCCCAAUGGGCCGGGGUGGCCUGGGGCGCAGGAGAAGAUCUUGCGCACUGUCGCAACGAGCGGAGAGCUGCC